rnacentral:miRNA from 2 species
GAUUGCACUACCCAUCGCCCAC